rnacentral:rRNA from 1 species
UACGGGGGGGGCAAGCGUUGUUCGGAAUUACUGGGCGUAAAGGGCUCGUAGGUGGCCAACUAAGUCAGACGUGAAAUCCCUCAGCUUAACUGGGGAACUGCGUCUGAUACUGGAUGGCUUGAGUUUGGGAGAGGGAUGCGGAAUUCCAGGUGUAGCGGUGAAAUGCGUAGAUAUCUGGAGGAACACCGGUGGCGAAGGCGGCGUCCUGGACCAAUACUGACACUGAUGAGCGAAAGCCAGGGGAGCAAACGGG